UUAUCUGCUUUUUAUAUUGGUCGUAUGGUUAAUUUAUGAUCAGGGGAAGGGUGUUGAAGAGGAUAUAAUGGACAUGAUUGAUAGAGAAGCAGAUGGAAGUGAUAGUCUUGAGGGUUUUGUUUUAUGUCACUCUAUUGCUGGAGGAACAGGCUUAAGUAUGGGUUCAUAUCUGUUGGAAAUUCUAAAUGAGCGCUUCAGCAAAAAACUGGUUCAAUAUUGAAUAUCAUCCAAGGGGAAGUGGACCCUACUCAGCGUUAGGAAAAACGCUUGGAGAGAGCUUGCUAUAAAAUGCUACGCUAUGGAGUAAGGUAAGCUUCAUCAAUUUUGUCAUGCAAUUUGCUUUUCUAGUUAACGUCAUGCAAUCACAUGUUUAAGUAUGCUUUCUAGUCUUUAUUUCUAGAACAAAUUAUUCACAUGUUUAUGCUUUUUGCGUAUGUCUACAUGCACAUGCAUUUUCCAUAUCAUCUCCUAGGAUAGAUUUAUGAGCUUAUAUAAUCACAUGCUCAUGCACUUUUCCAUGUCAUUCU